UACGUAGGCAGCAAGCGUUGUUCGGAGUUACUGGGCGUAAAGGGUGCGUAGGCGGCUUUUUAAGUUUGGUGUGAAAUCUCCCGGCUCAACUGGGAGGGUGCGCCGAAUAAUGAGAGGCUAGAGUGUGGGAGAGGAAAGUGGAAUUCCUGGUGUAGCGGUGAAAUGCGUAGAUAUCGUAAGGAAGACCAGUGGCGAAAGCGAGUCUCUGGCUAGAAACUGACGCUGAGGCACGAAAGCUGGGGGAGCAAACGGG
rnacentral:rRNA from 1 species